rnacentral:rRNA from 1 species
AGCAGCCGCGGUAAUUCCAGCUCCAAUAGCGUAUAUUAAAGUUGUUGCAGUUAAAAAGCUCGUAGUUGAAUUUCGGGGUUAGUAGGUUGGUCAUGCCUCUGGUAUGUACUGGUCUCACUGAUUCCUCCUUCCUGAUGAGCCGUAAUGCCAUUAAUUUGGUGUUGCGGGGAAUUUGGACUGUUACUUUGAAAAAUUAGAGUGUUUAAAGCAAGCUAACGCUUGAAUACAUUAGCAUGGAAUAAUGAAAUAGGACGUUCGAUCCUAUUUUGUUGGUUUCUAGGAUUGACGUAAUGAUUAAUAGGGAUAGUUGGGGCAUUAGUAUUCAAUUGUCAGAGGUGAAAUUCUUGGAUUUAUUGAAGACUAACUACUGCGAAAGCAUUUGCCAAGGAUGUUUUCAUUAUACAAGACGAAAGUUAGGGGAUCGAAGACGAUCAGAUACCGUCGUAGUCUUAACCAUAAACUAUAGCCGACUAGGGAUCGGAUGAUGUUAAUUUUAUG